ACGUCCUAUAGGGCCACUUCCGUGGGCGCUAGGUUAGAAACUGGGGGUGGUACUGACCUUGAGAGCGCGCAGGGGAGGCGCAGGCGCAGCGCAGGGCUACCCAGAUCCCUCUAAAGCAAGUACUUCAAGAGAAAAAGGCAGAAGUCUUCAUGUCCACAUAGCCUUCAAAGUGACAUAUCAUCACACAGAUAGGUUGACCAACAGAUUGAUGAGACAUACCAUGAAGAUACAGUGUGAGACACAACAAAGAGCAACUGGGGAACCUAAUUCUGACCAACAAGGAGGAAUUGCUUGGCUAAUUGGAAGUGACAGAAACCUUGGGAGAAAGCAACCACAUUCCAUGGAUAAUUAUAAGAAGGUAACAUGGGCCCUAAAGGAUAGUGUCAAGAAACCUGAAGCCCCCAGAUGAGGUUCAAAGAUUUUCAUAAUAAAGUCUGAAACACUAUGAUGUGAGAAUUACUUAAGUUUGAGUACUCGUUCUGCUCUCUUCAUCCUGCACUGGAGAAAGGAAGACCUUUAUGUACAACUUUGUUUUAUCAUGAAAAGAACUUCCAUAGAAGCUACUGGAGGUUGAGCUCUACCAAAUGAGGAAACAAACCAAGAACUGAAAAACCAAAAACAGUAUUUCUAACCCAACAGAGAAAUAAAGGGUGCCAUCUAGGAUACCACAUGUGUUUGUCAUGUCUCCUUUGGCUCUCAUGGCUGGAACAGUUGCUCAGACUUUAUUUAUUUUUAUAAUCUUGACAGUUAUGAGGGAUGCUGGUCAAGUAUUUUCUAGGAUGCCUCUCUAUUGGAAUUUGUCUGAUGCUUUUCUCAUAAUUAUUUUGGGGUUAUAGGUUUUAGAAAAGAAGACCUCAUAGGUAAAGUGCCAUUAUCAUCAUGUCAUAUCAAGGGUAUGUACUGUCAACAUGACUUAUCACUUGAUCACCUGGCUCAGGUAAUAUUUGUCAUGUUUCUCUAUUGUGAAGCUACUCUCCCUCUCUUCCUUCCAUACUGUACUCACCAAUGACUUUUUAAACUGUGUUUUUAAACUUUGAUUGCAGUAAGUUAAUUAAAAUAUGUAGAUGUUUCAUUUCUGAGCCACGUGGCACAUUACUGGGACUGUUUCGGUAGCAGCAUGAGACAGUGCAGGGUAAGUAGCCAAUGAAGAGCCAUAGUGAGCAUGGAGGGGCCUUUACACACGCGUAAGUUGAGUGGCCUGUGGUAUGUCAGUAUGAGAUGGAGCAAGACCACCAUCAGGUUCAGGACUAGCAAGGAUUGCAGGGGCAUGGAUGGAUUAGAAUUGAUGUAGACUAAGUUGCCAUGAAGCACUGAGGUGAAUCAGACAGGUUCCCAGGCAAAUGGUUUGAGUAUAAGAAAGCCAGGAUCUAAUUAAGAUUAAUAGUGGAUCAGGACCUUAAGCAAGGAAUCUGAACAACAGGAACAGAGCACCCUUGAGAAAAACAAGCAAACAAAAUAAAAUUUGACAUCCUAAAGACAUUUUAAUUCAGGUCAGGGGCUAUUUCUAAAUAGAACCAGCCUCCUUUGUAAUCUACCUUGAGGCUUUCAGCUGGAGUCCUUGAAGCUAGGUCGGAUCUCUUGACUGGAGUGGGGAAAAAGGAAGCAGCAUUUCUGAUAUAAUAUAAAUCAUAUCUUGGGGAUGUAUGUCAUAAAGGUUCAAUAAAAUGGCACAGUUAACAUUUUAUGUGUUUGAUAAAUUGAAGCUGGUAUUUCUUCCAUCUCCAGAACUGUAUAAGUCACUAUUCUGAGCCAGAAGGAAUAAAAAACCCCAUUUUCUUCUGGGAUAUUUUUCUAGAACUGAUGGCAUCUACAACAAUAAUCAAAAUUGCUUUCCCACAUAGUUUUAUAAGGGACAGUGGAAGGUGGCAAACCUUUUUCUAAUCUAAAUUCUCCCUUCUGGGCGUGAAUGUUAUUCUUAGGCAGAAGUAGAAGAAUAGUCUCCAUUGUAAUCUCCCUUCCCUCACCCCUAGUUCAUUCACCCAUGGAAGUAACUAGUCAGAAAUAGGUUCUCAGACCAGUUGUCCAUCAUCCCAAGCAAAAAAUUCUGUCUGUUAAUUUAAUUAAACAAGAAAGAGCUUAAGUCUUAAUUACACCUCUAAGAUGUCCUAGAACUCUACAAGGGGCCACGGCUAUGAAGUAAACAGGACACAGAGACUGCCCUCAAAAACCUCGCAUUAUAGUGAGGUAUCAAGGCAGUAAUACAGCCCUAUUCCCUAGUGUAAUGAGUGCUCUGAUUAGAAAAAGGACAUAAUGUUAUGGAAUUCCCCCCUGAGAAGUAUUAACUAAAUCUUGAAUAAAAGCCUAUUCAAAAGGGUUAUGGCAAUCAGGGGAAGGGGAAAGUUGCAAUAGAGAAUGCUCAGACUGUAAGAUCUGUAAAAAUAUGAAAGGUCAUGCAAAAAGGAAUUAUCUUUUUAUAGGAAGGGAAGGAAAGGCUAGAAGGAAUCAGGUAUUGGUGUGUGGGUGAGCAAGUGGUGUGAUCAGACAGUUAAUUAGAGAAUGUCUUUUCUUGCAGUCAGCUGAUCAUCUUGGGAGGCUGUUAAGGAGGGCUUUCCAGUAUCUAGGAGAGCUGCACUCCUGUGUUCAUUUGCUCCAAGGAUGGGGCAAACUAACAGACAUGAGGGUAGAGGGGAGCCUAACUAAAGUUUGGUCAAGUCAAGCAUUUUGUCCAGAUUAGUCAGUGGGGACAAACAGCUCAGCUAAUCACUUGAGAGACAGAGAAUGGGAAUUGAAGGUCUAUGUCUAGCCUUGUCAUAGGUAAACAAGGAGGAAGGACAUCAUUGAGUCUUAUUGAAGAAGAGGUAGACUUAUUCUUGGCAGUAAGCCUUUUUCUGAAGCACAAGAGUCAGAGUUGGGGGAUUUAUUAAUUGGAGCUUUUCCAGGAGCACAGGGCUCAGGAAAAGUUCAAUAUUAUCAAUAUCUAAACUGGUAUCGUUAAGCAAAUUAAGGGGACAUUUGAGAUAGGGGAACAGCCAGGAGGCAGGAUAAACAUGAUAUAUUCAAGAAACAUGAGGAAUGGGUGAAGUUAAUUUUGGAAGCAGAAGAUCAUUUGAAGUCUAUUGCUACAAGUUAGGAAGAAACAGUCACUUGACUAAGCAGUGGUUGUCAAAUGCCCAGAUAAAUGUUGGCCUAUGAGAUGGAUCAUAGCUGUCAUAGAGAAAUCUAGGCAAUGUGAGCUAUAAAAUUACUAAAGUGAUUUACCAAGGAAAACAGUGCAUCUCAGCUGAAAAAACAAACAUAUAAUCAAAUCAAGAGGGUGUGUACUGAGUUUGUUUUGAGAUAAGAUAAAAGACCUUUAUAUCCAGAAGGUCAAAAAAGUAGAACUAUAUAAAACAGACUUAUUUUCUGGGCAAUGGUUCUUUAGAGAUGAUCCCAAAAGAGGCAAAAAAUAAAAAGUAGAAAAUGGUUAAAAGCUUCUACACAGCAAAAGAAACAAUCAGAGUGAAGAGGCAGCCUAUGGAAUGGGAGCGAGCAAAUAUUUGCAAACUAUACAUCUGAUAAGAGGUUAAUGUCCAAACUAUAUAAGGAACACCUUAAACUCAGUAGCAAAAAAACCUAACAACCUGAUUAAAAAAUGGUCUGAAGACCUGAACAGUCAUUUCUUAAAACAUACAAAUGGUCAACAUGUAUGUGAAAAAUUGCUCAACAUCACUAAUUAUCAGGGAAAUGAGAAUCAAAACCACGGUGAUCUAUCACCUCACACCCAUUAGAAUGGCUACCAUCCAGAAGAUGAACAAACGUUGGUGAGGAUGUGAAGAAAUGGGCACCCUUGUUCACUGUUGAUGGGAAUGUAAAUUAGUAC